rnacentral:rRNA from 1 species
UACGUAUGGGGCAAGCGUUAUCCGGAUUUACUGGGUGUAAAGGGAGCGUAGGCGGCGGGGCAAGCCUGAUGUGAAAGCCCGGGGCUCAACCCCGGGACUGCAUUGGGAACUGCCCUGCUGGAGUGCCGGAGGGGCAGGCGGAAUUCCUAGUGUAGCGGUGAAGUGCGUAGAUAUUAGGAGGAACACCAGUGGCGAAGGCGGCCUGCUGGACGGUGACUGACGCUGAGGCUCGAAAGCGUGGGGAGCAAACAGG